rnacentral:rRNA from 1 species
UUUUCCGUANGGGGGACCUGCGGAGGGAUCAUUAC